GACAAGAAGAGGCUGGCCACCAGUGGAGCCAACUUUGCGCGCGCCUACACCGUGGAGUUCGGCAGCUGCCAGUUCCCCUACAACUUCACUGGGUGCCAGGACCUCGCCAAGCAGAAGGUUCAUUCUCUCAUCAUCACACACAUAUAUAACAAACCUCACCGCGCGGCCUGCUGACAAUAAUCUGAACUGGUUUCUUCUCAUCCUGUGCCGUGUCGUCCGUGCUUCAUUGUGCUCUUGCAGAAAGUCCCCUUCAUCAGCGACGACCUCGAGAUUGAGUGCGAGGGGAAGGAGAAGUUCAAGUGCGGCUCCAACGUUUUCUGGAAGUGGUGAAGCAGCUAGCAGCAGCGUCUGAUGGGAAUGGAGGAGAUCAUCACCUGUCUUGUCGACCCUAGAUAUGUCCAAACUGCAGGGAAAUUAAAUCUUCAUGUGUAAUUGUGCUCAUUCUGUUUCAAUCAUCUCAACAUCCGAUCAUGAACCUCUUGCAUUAUUAACUGGCUCGAUCGUCUUCUCAGUUUAAGACAUUGGAGGCUGCUUUGUUUGUUUCAGAGGUCCUUCUUAAGAUGAUGCUAUAUUUUGUCAUGGUUAAUGUGAUAAACAGGGUCAGGUCGGAUUAUUCUUGAAUAUAUAAAAUAGAAUUUUAGGCUCUAGCAAACCAGUAUAUGAGCAAAAGAAAAUUUGGAAACAAGAAAGUACCUAGAUGUAAAAAAAUAUGAACAAUAAGAAGAGAAUAAUAACAGUAGUAGUCUAUACCACUAGAUAAUCCAACAGUUUAAACAUUACAAAACUCACCUAACCAAAUCAUCCACACACCAAUAACCUCCACAAACAAAUUGCACCCAGACUUAACAUACCAUUAAAACCAAAGGUUCAGAUCUUCCAUUACUUACUCAAAUCCAAUAACAAUAUUAUUUACAUCAUCUCUCAUCCACCCCCUCUCCCUCCGACUCACUCGUGCCGCCACCACCGUCAACCCCGCCCCUCAUGUCGUCGUCGUCAUCGUCGACCCUUCCCCUCCUCGGGGUCAUAGCCGUAGUGAGAUUGCGUAUAAUGUGUGAGAUGCAUUGCAUUGAGCUUUUAGGGAGAAUAUAGAAGUACAUAACUUGGAGGGCAAGAAGUCUAUCCUAAAGAUGACAAAGGUUAUCCUAGAGAUAAGAAAGGUUAUUCCGAGAUUACAAUCAAUCCAAUCAACCUUAACCAACCAUAUCAGAUUUUGCCUAAUAUCACUACCGGAAUUGGCCGCUUUGCCGAGUGCCUGAAGCACUCGGCAAAGUCUAAAAAACACUCGGCAAAGUCUUUGCCGAGUGUCGCACUCGGCAAAGUCUAUGCCGAGUGUCGCACUCGGCAAAGAGGGCUCGAUGAACAGUGCAUCGGCAAAGACUUCUUUGCCGAGUACUUUUUCUCGGGCACUCUUGCCGAGUGCCAGAAGGUACUCGGCACAGACUUUGCCGAGUGCCAGAAGGUACUCGGCAAAGAAAAGCCGCCGUCACGGUGCCGGGGUGAUGGAGACGUCGUCUUUGCUGAGUGUCUCCUAAUGCACUCGGCAAGCAAGUUCCUCUUUGCCGAGUGUCUGCCGGCUAGCACUCGGCACAGAAUCCAUCAGGGGUCCCUUUGUCAGGUUCUUUGUCGAGUGCUCUGUAUGGCACUCGGCAAAGCGUGCCUCUGUGCCGAGUGCCAGGGCCACUACACUCGGCAAUGAACCUAUACCGGUGCCUAGGUCUUGGUUCUUUGCCGAGUGCUAUGGCCAUGACACUCGGCAAACCCCCUCUUUGCCGAGUCUAACACUCGGCAAAGUGACCAGUACACACCUUUUUAUUUGUUUUUUCUAUUCCAUCCAAACAAACAAAAGAUACAUCACAUAUAUUAUCACAUAUAUCACAUAUAUACAUCAUAGAUAUCAUCACAAACAUAAAAUAUCUAACACAAACAUUAAUAUACAAGUUCUCAACACAAACAUAAGUAUCAACACAAGUCCAGAAGUAUAAAAACAUAAUUUUCAAGCUCUAACAUAAGUAUUCAACACAAGUUCUGAAGUCUGAACACUAAAAACAUAGCUCUCAUCGAGGUGGGCUGUUAGACUGGUGCUACGAUGGGCUGGGCUGUUCAUGAGGGUUGUUGGAUGCCGCCCCAGAUUGGCCUUACACAGAGAAGACAUUGCAUGUUUUAUACCAGAUGCAUUACCAACAUCUAACUACAAUUUUGAUACUCACAGGAGUAUGAAACAAAGUAGGGUCAAUUGUAGGGAACAAUGGAGGUGGUGGAGCGAAACUCUGUGCAGCGCCAAGGCUCUGCAUGUAUUGGAACAUCUCCGCCAUUCUCUGCUAAUCUGCCAGGCGAGCCGCCCGCUCCGCCUCCCGCUCCACCAUCAUCCUUGCCUCCAUCUCGUGACGUUCCCUCCUCUCUUCCUCUAGCUGGGUCUAUAAUAUUACAAGCCAAUGUUAUAGUAACUCAAAGAGAAGGUAUAUAACUCAAGUAAUGACGAGUUACAGAAGCACUAACCUCCAGUUGUUGUAUGCGAUGCUGUGAGCUAUCGUGCCGAGGUCGUGUGGCUGGACUCGAGCCCGUGCUCCUUGCUCGCACCUGAGACAAAGUGGGAGUGGAGGACGAGUCGAUUGCCCCAUCGGCAAUCCAGUACCGCCUCUGUCUCUUGCCUCCUUCGACCCUCAUGAGCACAUCGAGGUCGAUCUCCUUGGUCCUCGGAUCGUAUUCUAGGCCAUGGACCUCCUGCGCCAUGGCGAUAUAGUCAUGAAGGCGACUGUAGACGGCGGGGUUGCUCUACGCCUCGGGCCCGUCAUCCGGGUUGUAGGUGACGUCGGACGUCGCCUUGCCCUUAUGGGCCAUAGCAUAGGCCGAGAAGAUGGAGCAAGGCUGGCCACCAUGUGACGCCGACUUCAAAAAAACCAACGAUAUAGUUAGAAAUAAUAUCUAAUCCAGUGUUAUAUACCUAAAUAAAAAGAGGGCGUACCCAUGCUUCUGCAUAUUUGUCGAGGCUGCGGCUGCCUUGGUGGUGCGAGGGACCUUGCAUCAUUAGACGUCAUUCCCGGCUAGCGUUGUGUGCCUCGUCCCACUCAGUCGAGCACCACCUAUCCACCAUCUGCUCCCAGCACAGAGGAUGUGCGGCGCACCAAUAUGGAAUCAUCUACAAAGUAAACACGUAAACUGCAUAUUAGAAGAUAAAAUUAAAUUCAUGCAUGGAGUACUGGUACCAAACAUGAAUGACUUUACAUGCAGGUACUGGUCCCUGGUCAACGACAUGGUUUGGGCUUGCUGCUUGGUCACCUUCUCCCUAAGGACGGACCGUGGUAGCUGACGAUGGCCUGGAUUUGGGCCUCAUAGUGCAUGUCCACGACGAGCUUCUUACAGUUCGUGGUGGCCACCACAUCCGCCCUAGCCUCGUAUCCAGUCUCGCAUCUGUAGUAAUUCUGCAUACAAAAACGAUGUAUCCAUACAUUAUUUCAAGAAUGUGCAAUGAAUGCAACAUAUUUUACAUUACACUAAAACUUACCCACAGCUCUUGCUUCACCCACUCCGGCUUGUUUUUGAAUUCUCGACCGUCCCGGUCUACUGCAUUGGGUGCGAUGGCGUAGUGGUCGAAGGUGUAGGCUGGGCCCAUCACUCCGGCGUACUCAACCAGUCUAGGGAAGUGUUCCCUGCAUAGCAGGCUGAGGAUGCCAUUGGGGUUGUGACGAUGACCCCCAGCAUUCUCCACAACCGCCCAAGACCUGUCCAAGUGAUAAAUAAAAAGUAUUAGUUUAUAUUAUGAUUUUGAACACAUAAUAUGAACAAGAAUGAAGAACAUAAAGUUUCAUGCCUCUCCCCAUCUGGCCGAAUCAGUGGCCGCCUGUCCCGAAGUUUUGACGCUGAGGGAGACUCACGGGACCUCGCAGGUAGACGCUCCUCGAGCCUCAGGUGCAAGAACCUGAGGCGUCCUGCUGAGCUUCGUCGUCGUCCUGCUGCUGGUCGUGGUCGUCCUGCUGCGCCGCCUGGUGCUGGACAAGGUCGUCCUGCUGCGCCGCCUGUUGUGCCUCGUCCUGCUCUGCCUCGUCCGUCGUCCUGCUCCUCCUCCCCCUCCGCCUCCUCAGCCAACCGCCCACCAUCUUUGUCCAACAACCUGCAAUUAAGAGUAAACAAAUAAGCACAUAUAAAAAGAUGUAUUUAAAAAUAGGUGCGAAAUAAAAAGUCAUAUAGCAUUAAAUCGAUUAAAAAUAAUCUUCAUAUGUGUCGGGGUUAGCCGGAUCAUAACUCUCAUCAUCACUAUCAACCACUUCAUAGCCAACACCAUCUGAAGGCGCAAGUUCGUCAUUAAUGUCAUUGCCUUCAAGGAUUACUAAGUCAUUCUUAUUUUGCACCUCAUCCUCCUCCUCAUCAACAACCAUUUCAAUAUCUACGUCUAUUCCGAUAGCUUCGGUUAAGUCUAUCUCAAAUUGCCCUUCUAGCCCAUCUUCUUGGAAGAACUCUCCAUCAUAUGUGUCCGAGUCUAAGUUAUAAUCUUCAUCGUUAGGAACAAGUAAUCUCCCAUGCGGUGAUACCUUAUACACAACAUCCCAACCCUUAAGAUGUUCUUUCGUUUGACACGCAUAUGGGAGAUAAUACACUUGUGUGGCCUAUUGGGCCACGAUAUAGACAUCGUCUCCUGGUAAGGUGGAAUCUUGUCGAAUUUCGACUAUCCCAAGAUUAGAAUGUGUCCGUCUCGUCACUUGAGGGUCAAACCAAUGACAUUUGAAUAUCACUGGAGUAAGAGGUUUGGAACCAUAAAAAUUAAGUUCAUAUAUUUCUUCGAUUCGUCCAAAAUAAUCGACAUCAUCAAGGCCGGGCGUAAAGACUCCAGAACACGUUGUUUUCCGAUUGGGCCGACUUUGGUUGUAGUUUGUUGUGCGAAAACGGUAUCCAUUGACGUCAUACCCAGAAUAUUUCUUGACCCUAUAAGCAAAGCCGUUGGCUACUUGUCUCAACUCGGCACUCAUAGACGGAUCUCUUUGGCCCUGCAAGUAUUCGCAAGUUAAAAGACACUAAAUUGAGUUCAUAGACGGAUCUCUUUGACAAACUAAGCACGUACCUUACGUUUGAACCAGGAAAUGAAAUCGAGCAAUCCAUUUCUCGCACCCUUUCUAAGAAGAGUAUCAUAUUCCUGUGGAGUUAGGUCCCUUGAUCGACGCCAGAAUUCAUGAAGAAAUUGUUCCAUGUAUGGCGUCACCUCUUCAAGGUUGGUCAAUACAUAUAGCAUGAUAUACCGCCACUCUUCAUGUGUCAGGGUCUUGGUGGUCGAGCCACUUGCGCUUUCGAGUUGGCCUCGAAAUAUGCUGAGGUUCGAUUCAUUAUCACCAUCAUUGUAACGAGGGGGUGGGUUAUGCACGCUUGGUAGUUUGUCACCAUAGUAAGUUGUUGUGAAGUUUGACACCUCCUCUUGAAUGUAUGCCUCUGCAAUGGAAGCCUCGAUUUUGCAUUUAUUUCUACAUUUCUUUUGAAUAGUCUUUAGACAUCUCUCGAUUUGAUAGCACCAACGUCCCUGCACGUGCCCCCCAUUCGUGCCUCAUAGGGGAGAUGAAGAAUCAAAUGCUGCAUUGGAUUGAAGAAGUCGGGGUGGAAAUAUAUUCUCAAGCUUACACAGUAACACGGGUGCCAAUCUUUCCAAGUCUGCAACCAUAGUCCGAGAUAACUCUUUUGCACAAAGCUGAUGGAAGAAAUAGCUCAACUCUGAAAGCGCUAGCCAGACAUGCUCAGGGACAUAACCUCGAACCAUCACAGGAAGAAUCCGUUCAAUCCAUAUGUGGAAGUCAUGACUCUUCAUCCCUAAGACUCGCAGAGUAGAUAAGUUCACCCCCUACCCAGGUUAGCUACAUACCCAUCAAGGAACAUCAACAUCUUGAUCCACUGAAGUACUUCCUUCCUCUGGGCCCUGCUUAGGACAAAAUUGGCCUUAGGCCUUCUCCAUGUCUUUCCACCACUUGGCGGCUUCAUCUCUUGGUUUGGUCUAUCACAUAACGCUGCCAGAUCCACUCUUGCCUUUAUGUUAUCCUUUGACUUAUCAGGAAUGUCCAUAAUUGUUGCCCAAAGUGCCUCGGCAACAUUCUUUUUAGUGUGCAUCGCGUCAAUGUUGUGUGGAAGGAGCAGGUCGUCAUAAUAGGGGAGCCGAGUCAAGCCCGACUUAUGUGUCCACAUAUGCUGCUCACCAUAUCCCAUAAAACCACCUUCUGUAUUGGCCACGAGCCCAUCUAUCUGUUGAUGAAUUUUGGCACCAGUGAUCGUUGCAGGUGGGCGGUCUGUCACUACGACACCUUUCGUAAAGUUCUUGAUGUCUAGGCGGAAUGGAUGGUCAGGAGGGAGAAAUUGUCGAUGUUUAUCGAAGGACGAAUAUUUGCCACCCUUUUUCAACCAAAUGAACCUUAGAGCUUCCUUGCAAACUGGGCAUGGGAACUUACCAUGAACACACUAGGCGCAGAAUAGCCCAUACGCCGGUAAGUCAUGCAUAGAGUACUGGUACCAAACAUGCAUUCUGAAGUUUGUCUUCGUGGCUCGGUCAUACGUCCAUACCCCUUCCUCCCAGGCACGUACCAAUUCAUCGAUCAAAGGCUCCAUGUACACGCCCAUUUUAUUCCCCGGGUGUCCGGGAAUUAUCAACGACACGAAUAUAUUCUGCCUUUGAAAGGACACACCGGGGGGAGAUUGAUUGGGAUAACAAACACGAGCCAACAUGUGUACGGGCAGCGCUCAUUCCAUAGGGAUUGAACCCAUCUGUGGCCAGCGCAACACGUACAUUACGAGCCUCUUCGGCUUUCUCACGGUGAAUGGCAUCAAAGCGUUUCCAUGCUUCACCAUCGGAUGCGUGCACCAUCUUGUCAGGAUUGUAUCGUUUUCCAUUUUUGUGCCAUGUCAUCUGUUUCGCGGAUUCCUCGGUCAUGUAUAGACGCUGGAUCUGCGGUAUGAACGGAAGAUGCCGUAGGAUUGUCAAGGGGAUGUCGAGCUGCCUCUUCUGUCCAUCACCAGAGUCUAGCUCCAUGAACAUAGACGAUUUACACUUGGGAUAGUACUUUGCCUUCGCGUAUUCUUUCUUAAAUAGCACGCAGCCCUUCAGACAAGCAUGUAUCUGCUCAUACGUCAUCUUGAGUGCACGAAGGAGUUUAUGUGCCUCGUACAUGCUCUUUGGCAGAACGUGAUCCUUCGGAAGCAGGCUCCCAAUAACCGUUAACAAGCCAUCGAAUGCGUCUCGACUCAUGUUGUACUACGACUUGAACGCCAUUACACACCCAAUGGCAUCCAGUUGAGAAACCUUUGUCUGGCCGUGAAGGAGCUUUUGUGCCACGUCAAACAUGUCAUAGAAUGCCUUUGCAGUCGGCUCUGGCUCGUCAUCCGUACAUCCACCGACGUACUGUGCCUCCUAAUAGUCGUUCAACAUAUCCGCUACCCUCACAUCGGCAUCAUAAUCCUCGACGCGUUGUCUCAGCACCUCCUCUCUCGUACGAUGCACUUCACCAUGAAAGAUACACCGAGUAUAGUCCGGCAUAAAUCCAUUCUUCUAAAUAUGUUCUACCAUGGCCUUCAUUGAUUUUCUCUUCUGUUUGGCACAUUUGCUGCACAGGCAUGGGACUAGACUCGCUCCUUUAGCAGCUUCGCCAUAUGCCCGUUCCACGAAAUCAUCGGUCUUUCUAAUCCAUUCAGGGGUGACAUCGUUCCUUCCUCUACGGCCCAUGUACAUCCACUCACGGUCCUCCAUCCUCUAACAGAAGCCUAUCAAUAGAAAAUUUUGGCAACACCUCCGCUGCACGGGGAGGUUUCGAAAUCCUACAUAUAAAAGUAUCAGCACGAUGGCUGACAUCCAUGUAUAAUUCAACGGCACGAUGGCCGACAAUCACAUCUAUAUAUAUUCAAUCCAUGAGAGAUAACACAACAAAACUGCAUUUACAUGGAAACUACAUUUACAUGAUUUACAUAUUUCAUUCACAAAUUCUCAAUGAGACUAUAGCCUAACUUACAUGAUUUACAUCCUAUCAUUCACAGAUUUACAUUAUUUACAUCCUAUCAUUCACAAAUUUACAUGAUUUACAUCCUAUCAUCUAAUCAAUAAUAAAUACAAAGUGACACGUAAUAAAUACAAAUCUAAAUCAUGAACAAAUUCAUACCUAGUGGAGAUCGUCGAGGACGGGCGUGAGUCGCGUGGGGGCGGCGGUUGGGCCGCGCGGGUUAGGGCGGUGCGGGUCAGGGCGGUGCCGGCGGGGGGUGGUGCGCGUGGCGGUGCCAGCGGGGAGCCGGCGAGGGGUGGUGCGUGUGGCGGGGCCAGGCGGCGGUGGUGGCUGGGCGGGGAGGCGGGGCGUGGGGAGGCGGGCUCCGACGGCAGAGGCAGUGGGCGCGGGGAGGCGCGGCGGUGGUGGCCGGGUCAUGGGGAGGCAGCGGUGGGGAGGCGGGGCGUGGGGAGGCGCGGUCGUAGGGAGGCGGUGACAGGUGAGGAUGGGCGGGUCGCCGGUGGGGAGGCGGCGGCGGUGAGGACGGGUGAGUGAGAGUGAAAGAGGAGAAGGAGAGGCUGCAGACGGUUAAGUGUCGCUUCUUUGCCGAGUGCCCGCGAUCUGGCACUCGGUAAAGAUUUUUUUAAUUUAAAAAAAUACUUUGCCGAGUGCCUACUGACAGGUACUCGGCAAAGACUGGAUUUAGGGUUUUUGUCGGGUGUCCCACGGCUAUUACUCGGCACAGACGUCUUUGCCGAGUGUCAUCACUAGACACUCGGCAAAGUAUAUUUUUAUUUUUUUAAGUUUCCUUACCAAACUUUUUCUGGUAUGUUCCUACACUAUGUAGACCUACAUGUACCAUUUUGGCACAUUUAUAAAAGUGUUUCCUAUAACUAUUGGAUUUAGUUCGUUUAAUGGAAUUUUCUUCGAUAAUUUAGAUUUGAACUGCAAGUUACUCGAAACUUGGAAAACCGUGUAUGAAAAAAUGAUAUUCAUGCUAUUUAGCACAAGUUAUGACCGAUUUCAAGAGCGGACCAGAAACUUCGAGCACCAAGCUCACUAAACAUGGUCGUGAACUUGCCAUCCAGUUGUUUCAAAAUUGUAUAAGACACAAACAAAGUCAGAAAAUCAUGAAACUUGUCCACAUGUCAUUAUAUCAUAUAUAGAGGCUGUGAUAAAAAUUUGAGAAUGUUUCGAAAAAGUUGUGAGACGGUAUGUGUAUGAACCUAAGAGAAGUACACAUGAAAUCACAGAGUUUCAAUGUACUUCUCUUAGGUUUAUACACAUACUUUCUCACAACUUUCUCGAAACAUUCUCAAAUUUUUAUCACAACCUCUAAAUAUGAUAUCAUGAAAUGUGGACAAGUUUUAUGAUUUUCUGACUUUGUUUGUGUUUUAUACAAUUUUGAAACAGUUGAAUGGCAAGUUCAUGACCAUGUUUAGUGAGCUUGGUUCUCGAAGUUUCCGGUCCGCUCCUGAAAUUGGUCGUAACUUAUGCUAAAUAGCAUGAAUAUCAUUUGUGCAUGCACGAUUUUCCAAGUUUUGAGUGACUUGCAGUUCAAAUCUGAAUUAUCGAAGAAAAUUCCAUUAAACGAACUAAAUCCAAUAGUUAUAGGAAACACUUUUAUAAUUGUGCCAAAAUGGUACAUGUAGGUCUACAUAGUGUAGGAAUAUACCACAAAAAGUUUGGUAAGAAAACUUAAAAAAAUAAAAAUAUACUUUGCCGAGUGUCUAUGGAUGACUCUCGGCAAAGACGUCUGUGACGAGUGUCAGCCGUGGGACACUCGGCAAAGAAGCUUCUUUGCCGAGUGUCAACGCCCGACGCUCGGCAAAAUCUAACGGCCGUCAGUUAUAGACGGCUGCUGACGGCCUUUUGCCGAGGGCCGCCUUCGCCGAGAGUUUAGCACUCGGCAAAGAUAGCUUUGCUGAGUGUAGUUUUUUUCCGUGAGUCCUGCUCUCGGCAAACACGUUCGUUACCGAGAGCUAGACUGUGUCGAGUGCCCGACAAAAAGCACUCGGCCAAGGGCCAAGCACUCGGCAAAGCCACAGAUUCCGGUAGUGUAUAUAUACUCUAAUCGUAGCGUUAGCAUGGGAUAUAUGCCAGUGACAACAACAACAUUAGUAAUAAUAAGAUCCUAAGACAAUUAAAGAAUAUAUAAGUUUUUUUAGUUCUUUAUAUAUUUCUAAUUGGCGUAACCAAUAGUUACGUUUCUUAUGUUAAAAACUAUACACCCUAGAAAUAUCUAUUGGUAUUCCUAAACUUCGCAUGAAUCACUACUACAGAAUGAAAUAUCUAUACCAGUUGAGAAUUGGUCACGGUACCGAAUUUCCAACCGGUACUUGUCAUUUAGAAUUAAAGACCUCAGUUUUUAAUACCGGUUGUAUGAACCCGUACUAAAGUUGAAACUUUGGUACCGGUUCUUGGCAUGAACCGAUACUAAAGAUGUAACUUUUAGUACCGCUUCAUGCCAAGAAUCGGUACUAAAUGUUACAUCUUUAGUACCGGUUAGAACUGUUACUAAAAUAUUAAUGGACUUUUUAUUAUAUGCUUACGCACAUUAAAAUGGUUGUGUACAUUAAUUUAUUUAUAUAUAUACAUAUGUAAAUGUGUAGAUUCAUAUAUACAUGUGUAGAAUCAAUAAUAUAUACAUUAAUAUUCAUGUGUAGAUUCAAAUAUACAAAUGGAUAUUUAUAUUAACAGUAAUACAUACAAAUGCCUAUGAAGUUUCCUAACUUCUAAAAAUAUCUCUAUUUCUAUGUUCUUAAUAUGAAUCUUCUUUAUCUUCUGCAUGUUGAAGAUUUUGUCGAUCAUAAUAGAACUCUCCUUCUUUGGAUACGACAUCUCUAUUUAUAAAAGCAUAUAAGUUGUUAUUGAAUUGCUUCUAUCCUAUCCAUAGUGAAUACUUUUUCCUUCAUCUUUAUUAUCUGUCAUUUGCCAAUAACAUUGAUAAAAAGUGUUAUUGUAUUAAAUUGAAAGCUGGUAUACUUUAUUGAUAUGAAAUUAACAUCAACACUGUAGAAAAUGUUGAUGUACCUCGAUAUUUUUGGCCACUGACUUGUUACCUAUGAAUGUCUGAAUAAAUUCACAAAUGUAGUAACCAUAGAGGUGGUUUCCUUUUUCCUAUAUCAAACACUAAAAUCGAGAAACAAGUAAUGAAUUAUUAUUAGCAAAUAACUUGAGGGAUCGGAAAGCUACAAACGUACAUGAAAGUUUGACCUAAUCUAAAGAGUUUCUUUUAGGCUGACAUGCUUUUUCAUAGCCAACUCAUGCACUGCAUAAUGAAAAUUACAAGUCUUUGGUACAUGCAUGAUUCAAUUAUUUAGAGGUUUAUAGAGUUAGGUUUGAAUGGUAAGAAUUACUCUUUAAGAAGGUAUAUUAUUUCUUUUAAGUCAUCGACUUGCUUCCUCAAGGAGUCAAGGAUAAAUAUAAUACCUUCUUCCAUUAAGAUCACCAAAAGUACCCAUUGAAAGUUGUAGGAAAGUUACAAAAAGGUAGAACAAAUUAGAAAUACACAUUUAGUCUAAAAAGGUAUGGGUACAAAAAGAUAAUGGACACUAACUUAAAAUUAUAUGGAAUUAGUAUACAUUACAUAUAGUGUUGCUUUGUGAAGGAACUUGUGCGGUCUUUGUAGGAUAGCCGACCGAUAUCCCUAAUUGUUAUUUGGUUUAUGUGCACUAGGUCCAUGAAGUCAAUAUUGAAAAUCCCUUCUUUACAACAUCGUUGGAUGUCCAUGCUUUAGAAAACAUAGUAGGUGUAAGAGAACUUCAGUUAGCAUUGAAUAUAUAUUAUUCAGUAGUGGACAAGAGAGAAGGUAAAUACUUAUAGAACUCAGGUGCUGGGUCUAACGCAUUCCACCGGUAUAUAUCAAAUAUAUUGUUAAAAUCGAGCCACAUCACAUCAACAUUGUUGAAGUAGUGGUCUUGUAUAAACACACAAAAGGUGACCCUAUCAGCGGUUGAAUCCUUCAAAUAUCAACUGUCUUGGAAUCUGUUCAAUUGUGUUGUAAGUUCGGAACCUCUUCUAGAGUAUAGGCCGACCUUGCUUGAAUUGCCAUGCAAACUAAUGUGAUGGCAUAUUUUCUUUGUGUAUUUUUUCUUUUCUUUUUCAAGCAUGUGCCCAUAGUUUUGUACCAUCUAGAAUACAAGAUUACCACUUCAGUGAAUUGGCUUGGCACGAUGGUAUACUUGCCCAUUCCAAUGCUUAGCUUUUCUUCUUAAUGGGUGUUUAGCCACAAGAAAUCAACGAUGGGUUGUAUAAACAAUUUUUCUAUAGUGACGUAGAUACAAGCAUCUGUCUCAUCUAAACAAUGGGUGCAGACAUUGAAUCCAUUAUCCUAAUAGAUUUGAAUGUGCAGGCCAAUUGUUGAUGGUUAUGAAUAACAAAGCACAUCAUUAAAAGCCUUCUUGUGCUCGUCCCACAUACAACACCUUUGGACCACAAUUGUAAAAAGCUCAUCCACCAAUGGUUUUAGGUACGCAUCAAUGUUGUUAAUAGAUUGUUUUGGCCCUUCAAUAAGCAGCAGCAUCAUUAUGAACUUUUGCUUUAUACAUAGCCAGGGUAUACAUAUAUAGAGUCACAUGCUGAGGAUAUGACCACUGCCCUACUCGCUGAAAGGGUUCAUGCCAUCGGUGGUUAAACCAAACCUUACAUUUUUUGCAUCCUCUACAAACUCUAAGAAUGUUCUAUUAACUUUACACCAAUGUGAACCAUUACUCUCUUCUUUGUGCAACCACAUUAUCUUGGUGUGCUCUUUGUUACGAAACAAAUGUUUCAAUCGUGGUAUUAUAGGGAAGUACUGUUGGUCACUUGUUUUCAAUUGCUAUGAAUCAAAAACAAGGCAACACACACAUGUUAAACGUUAAGGACCUUCAUCCUUCGAAGCAUUAUCCUCUUUCAGAGAUAAUGACUCUUGUACGAAGGUCAUGAAGAAUGAGUCUUUAUUUUUCAUAAGUAUAAUAUUACAAUGUAACAUUAUAACAAUUACUUAUUUCAUCUCGCAUGCCAGGAUGAUGUUAAGGUAUGUAUUAUAUAUAUUAAUAAAGUGGUACAAAUUAUAUAUUACAUUUGUACCUUCGGCUUGCUCGAAAGAGAGAAUGCGAGUACAACUUUUCAAUCCAACGUGAAUAGUACGGGGUAAUAUUCAUCUAUUUAUAGGCAAGGGACGCAGCCCAAGCAGAAGUACAAUUAUGACCCUGAUAUCUACACAUUGCUCUAAUACAAAUAUCAAGGAUAAACAAGUCUUUUCCUUGCUGGCUUGGUGUCAUGUAUGACCUUCGUGACCAUCUUAAGUCGAAGCUCCAAUUCUUGUCGAAGCUUCGCUACAUUUUAUGCAUGUUUGUUGCAUCUUUGGCACUUAGUUCCUUUGAUUACAAAUAGUUUCUUCAUCCUAAGGACCUUCAGCAUAGAAGGAGACCCCCAAUAGUAGCCCCUUCGUGGUGCUAGGUCGUUUUUUUCAUAACGAGCUUGAUUCGCGAAACACACGAAGGCUUUUGAAUGCCGAAGGUCCAAAAACACCUUCUCAGUUAGUAUGAGCGGCGCGGCAGUAUGCCUUCUUCACAUGCAAGGCUAUAUAAAUAGGUUGGUUGGUAAGAAGUUAUUACAUCAUUCCUUGCUUUUGCACUGUUGUUGUUGGGGGUAUUCUUCUCCGCCGAAGGUCCUCAAGGAAAAAACACCUUCGACAAAAUGAUACAAAGGUUUGCCGAAGUCACCUUCAGCCUUGAUUUAGCUCCUCAAGACGAAGACUCUGUAUAGAGGCAACAAUGCAAGAUGUCGAAGGUCAAUGGCCUCAACCCAGAUCAAGCAAGGAAGAAAAAAGGACCAGAUAGGCCUUAUUGGUUUUAGUUACAUGUAAACAAGAGUUCAGGGGCAUGAAUGUAAUUUUAUCCGGACUGCGUCCCGUGACUAUAAAUAGAUGAAUAAUACCCCCGUACUGUUCACGCUGGAUUGUAAUCACUCUCGCGCCAUUUUCGCUCUCUUACCUUCUGGCAAGCCGAAGGUGUCAAUAUAAUAUGAAUAUUGUUUAUGUUUAUUCAUGUUUAUGGAAUAUAAUAAUAAAUGAAUAGUUGAUACAUAACAAUUAUUAUCUUCAUUUUUAUAUUCCUUCACUUGCUUAUUUGUAUUCAUGUUUAUAUGUUGAAAUGAUGAAGGUGUGUCCUUCAUGACCUUCGUCUGAAGACCAUUAUAUCUGAGAGGAAAUAAUGCUUCGAAGGACGAAGGUCUUUAACUAUUGACAAUUGUGUUGCCUUGUUCUUGAUUUAUAGUAUUCGAGAACAAGUGACCAACAUUGGCGCCCACCUCCGGUGAACUCACUUCCGCAACUGCGACAAUGGCUUCGCAAGGCAACCAAGCUGCGCCACCUUCGACUACGAAGCUGGCGCUCCCAAUCACAGGCGGCUCAAGUUCUGAACCAGCCAACAAGAAACAGAAGAAGGAAGCACAGAGAAGGGUACAACAUGUUGAUGUGCAAGGACCCUUCAUCAGGUCCAAAUGGUCUCACAUACCAAUUACCUUCUCUCAGGAAGACCUUCAGCUUUAAGAUUAUCCUCACAACGAUGCAAUGGUCAUAUCUUGUGUCAUCAAGGGAUUUUUGGUCCAUAAUGUCCUGGUGGUCACAGGCAAUGCAGCGAACAUCAUUUUCAUGAAGGCUUUCAAGCAAAUGCAAGAGCCGGAUGACAAGAUACAUGAUGCAACACCCCCCUUUGUGGUUUCGGAGGAAGACAGAUUGUAGCGCUCGGCAAGAUAACCAUGUCAGUUACCUUCGGCUACGUUCACCACACAAGGACAGAACAGGUUGUCUUCGACAUUGUUGAUAUGGAAUAUCCAUAGAAUGCAAUCAUUGGUCGAGGGACACUCAAUGCCUUCGAAUCAAUACUUCAUCCAGCAUAUCUUUGCAUGAAGAUACAUUCGGAACAAGGCCCCAUUGUUGUACAUGAGAGUCAAGAAGCUGCUAGGAGAGCCGAAGUAAGUUGGACGGAUUCGAAGGCCAUCCAUAAUAUAGAUGAGGCCGAAGCUCAUCAGCAAUAUAAGCAUAAAAGAGAAAAGGCUGCUUCGGCAGAUCAACCAAAGUCCAUGCUUUUGUGUGAAGACAUAGCUGAGCAAAAGGUGCUAUUGGGAUCUCAAUUAUCUGAUGAGCAAGAGAAGACCUUGCUAAGAUUUUUGUUUAAUAAUAAAGAUGUUUUUGCUUGGUCAGCUAAUGAUAUCUGUGGUGUCAAUAGAGAUAUUAUUGAGCACUCGCUCAACGUAGACCCGUCCUUCAGACCAAGAAAACAGAGGCUUCGGAAAAUGUCCGAUGAUAAAGCCGAAGGUGCACGAAACGAAGUGAAAAGACUUCUAAGUGCCGGCAUUAUCAGAGAAGUGACAUACCCAGAGUGGCUGGCCAAUACCGUCAUGGUAAAGAAAGCAAACAGAAAAUGGAGAAUGUGUAUUGACUUUACAGAUCUCAAUAAGGCAUGCACGAAGGAUGAAUUCCCACUUCCAAGAAUAUAUUCCCUUUGCAAGUAUCUUCAUCCUCUGCUGAAGCUAGAGUUAUUGCUUCAUCGCCAAAUAGAAGUUUAAACGGAGUGAAACCCGUUGAUCUUGAAACCACAUUAUUGUGAUUCCACACCAGCUUUACUAAUUCAUCUGGACACUUUCUCUUUGGCAGAUUAAAGAUUGACCUCAUUAUUCCUUUGAUAAUGAUUCCAUUUGAUCGCUCUACUAAGUCGUUGGACUCUGGAUGUCUUACCAAUGCGAAAUGUAUCUUUGUUCUAAUUUGAUCACAGAAAGUUUUAAAUCUUCGGAGCGAAACUGUGCUCCAUUAUCAACUGUGAUGGCCUUCGGCACCCCAAACCGGCAGAUGAUAUUUUUCCAGAAAAGUUUCUAGAUUGUGGCUGAUGUUAUUAUAGCUAGUGGUUUAGCUUCGAUCCAUUUUGAGAAAUACUCCACUGCUACUACAACAUAUCUCAUAUUUCCUUGGGCUGGUGGAAGUGGUCCUAAUAAAUCUAAUCCCCAUCUCUGUAAUGGCUAAGUGGGCUGAAUUAGUUGUGUUAGAGAUGAAGGUUGCUUUUGAUCCCUGGCACACUCCUGACAAUUCUCACAUUUUUGCACUAGGUCUGCUGCAUCCAAAGCAGCCUUCGGCUAAUAGAAACCUUGUCUAAAUACCUUGCCUAAGAGUGGCCUGAAUCCAAUAUGUGCUUCACAUAUUCCUGAUUGUAUUUCUUUCAUCAACUCUUGACCUGCGACUUUGGAUAAACAUUUCAGCAAUGGGGAGCAGACCCCUUGUUUAAAAAAUUCCCCUUCUAUAAUCAUAUAUGGUCUUGUUCUGGCCUGCAUCCUUUUUAUGUAAACCUCAUCAUCCGAAGGGUGAUUGCCCUGGAGGAAGGAUAUAAUUUCUGUUCUCCAAUCUUUGCUAUGCGCAGGCGAUAUUGUGAGUACAACCCUUUCCAUGAGCUCAAAUGAAGGUGCUUUGAGAGUUUCGAAGAACACUUCUGGGGGGAGCGGGAGCCCCUGUGUUGCUGAUUUAGCUAACAAGUCUGCUUGUUCAUUAUCCCCUCUUGGGAUAUUUUUACUGAAAAUCCUUUGAAGGAGGCUUCCAUCCUUCGGACUGUGUCAAGAUAUUUUUCGAGUUUUGGGUCCUUUACCUUGCUGCUUUUGUCAACAUGACCUGUAAUUACUUGGGAGUCAGAUUUGAGUAUUGCUCUUCUUAUUCCCACGGUUUUAAGCUUUUGAAGCCCUAAUAGCACUGCUUCAUAUUCUGCAAUGUUGUUUGUGCACUUGAAUUCCAGCCUAGCAGCAUAGCAGAUUCUUAUUUUUAAUGGUGAAAUCAAAACAAUUAUUGCGCCUGCGCUGAAGGUUCCGCAUGAGCCAUCAUAGAACACUGUCCAAGCUUCUUCAUCUAUCAAGUGUCCUUCUUUGUGAGCCCCUGGCAUUCAAUCAGUAAUGAAGUCUGCUAGUGCUUGAGAUUGAAUCGAAGAUCGGUGGACAAAGUCAAUAGUGAAUUCAUUUAGCUCUGUGGCCCAUUUGCCAACCCUUCAUGUGCUUCUCUAUUUCUUAUGAUGUCUUUCAAGGGUUGGGACAAAGGUACUAUUAUAUGAUAAGAUUGAAAAUAAUGUCUGUUGGGGGUCUGCUUCGUCGCCGAAGGUCCCAUAAGAAGAAACACCUUCGGAAGAAUGACACAAAGCCGAAGCUAUUAAUCAGAGAGCUUCGGAGUACAUUUCCAAAUGCACCGACUUAAAGAUGAAAUGACCAAUCGACCCGUGAUGACUUGUAUUAUGAUUGUAAACCUUUGUAAAGGGCAUGAAUGUAAUUUCUCACAGGCUGCGUCCUGUGCCUAUAAAUAGGUGAACAGUACCCCUGUACUGUUCAUGCGAUCUUGUAUUCGCUCGUGCGCAACGCUUGGAUUUUUUGCCUUCUAUCAAACCGAAGGUAUAAAUGUGAUUAAAUAUUGUAUUUAAAUACUUGAAUUCAUGUAAUGAAGAUAUGUGAAUAAUGCUAUAUGAUUGUUCAUGUUAUCUUUCAUGUUUCAUAUGCUUUGUCUUUCAUUACCACUUAUCAUGAUGAUGAAGGUACGUCCUUCAUGACCUUCGUCCGAAGAUCGUUAUAUCCUAAGGGAAAUAAUGCUUCCAAGGACGAAGGAUAUUAACCUUUAACGCUGUGUUGCCUUGUUCUUGAUUCAUAGCAUUUGAGAACAAGUCCCCAACAUUGGCUCCCACCUCCGGUGAACUCACUUCCACUGAUUGAGCUGAUGGCUUCGUUCAACAAUGAAGCUGAAGUAGCUUCGGCUAUGAAGAUGGUGCUCCCGAUAACAGGCGGUUCAUGUUCAGAACCGGCCAACAAGAAGCAGAAGAAAGAGGCUCAGAGAAGGGUGCAGCAUGUUGGGGUGCAGGGACCCUUCAUCAAGUCAAAAUGGUCCCACAUCCCAAUCACCUUCUCCCAGGAGGACCUUCAGCUCAAGGAUUACUCUCACAAUGAUGCUAUGGUUAUAUCUUGUGUCAUCAAGGGAUUUCUAGUCCAUAAUGUUCUGGUUGACACAGGCAGUGCAGCAGAUAUCAUAUUUGCUAAGGCCUUCAGACAGAUGCAAGAGCCAGAGGACAAGAUUCAUGAUGCUACACACCCUCUUUGUGGCUUCGGAGGAAGGCAGAUCGUAGCACUUGGCAAGAUCACAAUGCCAGUGACCUUCAGAUUUGUCCAUAACACAAGGACUGAACAGGUUGUGUUUGAUAUUGUUGACAUGGAAUACCCCUACAAUGCAAUUAUUGGACGUGGGACACUUAAUGCUUUCGAAGCAAUUCUUCAUCCAGCAUACCUAUGCAUGAAGAUACCUUCGGAACAAGGGUCUAUUGCAUUUCAUGGAAGUUAGGAAGCUGCCAGGAAGGCUGAGGGAAAUUGGACAGACUCAAAAGAUUCAACAACAAAUAUGUUUUUGCAUGGUCGGCCAAUGAUCUCUAUGGUGUCAACAGGGAUGUCAUUGAACAUUCACUCAAUAUUGAUCCAUCCUUCAGGCCCAGGAAGCAAAGGCUUCGGAAAAUGUCUGAUGAUAAAGCCGAAGGUGCUCGGAAUGAAGUAAAAAGACUUCUCAGUGCUGGUGUCAUGAGAGAAGUAAAAUAUCCAGAGUGGCUAGCCAAUACUGUUAUGGUGAAGAAGGCUAAUGGCAAAUGGAGAAUGUGUAUUGAUUUCACAGAUCUCAAAAAGGCCUAUCCGAAGGACAAAUUUCCAUUACGAAGGAUACUCUCUUGUGGAUGCAGCAGCUUCUUCAGAACUUAUGAGUCUUCUGGAUUGCUACUCAAGAUAUCAUCAAAUAUGGAUGAAGAAGGAGGAUGAGCCGAAGACUAGCUUCAUAACUCCCAGUGGAACCUAUUGCUAUCUUCGGAUGCCUGAGGGGCUCAAAAAUGUUGGAGACAGUUUCAGCAGGAUGACGGCCAAGGUCCUUAAUUCCCAGAUAGGCAGAAAUGUGCUAACAUACAUUGAUGAUAUCAUAGUAAAAAGCACGAAGCAAGAAAAUCGUAUCACUGAUCUGCAAGAAACAUUUGCUAAUUUCAGACAAGCUGGCCUGAAAUUAAAUCCUGAAAAAUGUGUCUUUGGAGUGAAGAAGGGCAAGUUCGUUGGCUGUCUGGUUUCGACGAAGGGGAUUGAAGCUAACCCAAGCAAGAUCGAAGCUAUCCUUCGAAUGGAACCACCGAGCAGAAAGAAGGGGGCCCAACGGUUGGCAGGAAGAUUGGCUUCAUUGAAUAGAUUUAUAUCUAGAUCAGCAGAAAGAAACUUGCCAUUCUUUGUAAUACUAAAGUCAGCCGAAGUCUUUCAAUGGGGCCCAGCUCAGCAGAAAGCCUUCGAAGAGCUGAAGCAAUACUUGAUUGAUAUAACAACAUUAACUCCACCCGCGCCAGGGGCUCCGUUACUAUUAUAUGUGGCAGCUUCGCACUCUGCAAUGAGUGCGGUGCUUGUGCAGGAGAAAUUAGAAGGACAAAUCAAAAAGCAAGCCCCAGUAUACUUUGUCUCCGAAGUUUUAAGCUUCUCAACGAAAAAUUAUACAGAAUUGGAGAAGGUGUUGUAUGCUGUCUUAAUGGCCUCUAGGAAGCUUCGACAUUAUUUUCAAGCAUUCCAUAUAAUUGUUCCUUCGUCACAGCCUCUGAAGGACAUCAUGAGGAACAGAGAAGCUACUGGAAGGAUUGGAAAGUGGGCUGUGGAACUCAACAAAUUCAGUAUUGAUUAUGUGCAUAGAUCCUCGAUUCAGUCCCAGGCGCUAGCAGACUUCAUCGCUGACUGGAUGCCAGGGGCUCAGGAAGAAGAAGCAAAUAAAGAUGUCGAAGCUUGGACGGUGUUCUGCGACGGUUCUUGGGGAACCUUCGGGGCAGGUGCGGCUGCUGUCUUAGUUGCACCUUCUAAAGUCAGAACAUGCUAUGCAAUAAAGCUUGACUUCAGCUGCACAAAUAAUAUUGCUGAAUACGAAGCUUUGCUUUUGGGGCUUUGGAAGUUAAAAGCAAUGGGGAUAAGAAGGGCGGUCCUUAAAACCGAUUCCCAAGUUAUUUCUGGUCAUGUUGACAAGAGUUGCAGGGCAAGAGACCCGAAGCUUGAGAAAUACCUGGACACAGUUCGAAGGCUUGAAGCUUCUUUCGAAGGGUUUUCUGUCAAGAAUAUUCCACGAGGAGAAAACGAGCACGCUGAUCUGCUAGCCAAGUCAGUGGCACAGGGGCUGCCUCUACCUUCGGAAGUAUUCUUUGAGACAAUAAGAGCACCUUCGGUGGAACUUCUCGAAAGAGCAGUACUCACUAUAUCUCAUGUUCAUAGUGAAGAUUGGAGGACUGAGAUCAUAUAUUUCCUCCAAGGUAACAGCCUUUCAGAUGACGAAGCUUAUAAUAAGAGAAUGGAGGCAAGAACAAGACCAUAUGUAAUAAUAGAAGGAGAGUUAUACAAACAUGGAGUCUGCUCUCCACUUCUUAAGUGCGUAUCCAGAACCGAAGGUAUAGAGCUGAUGAAGGAAAUACAUGCAGGCUUGUGUUGAUCUCACAUUGGAUCUAGACCUUUGUUGGGGAAGGUCUUCAGACAAGGAUUUUAUUGGCCGAAGGCAGCUUCAGAUGCAACGGAUCUGGUUCAAAAAUGCGAAAAUUGUCAAAAAUGUGCAAGAGACCAGAAACAACCUUCGUCGCUAACCCAUUUAAUACAACCAACUUGGCCAUUGCAAAGAUGGGGCCUGGAUUUAUUAGGUCCACUUCCACCAGCACAAGGCAAUUUAAGAUAUGUUGUAGUGGUUGUGGAGUAUUUUUCCAAGUGGAUUGAAGCAAAGCCUUUGGACACAAUAACUUCGGUCACAGUCCAGAAAUUCUUCUGGCAAAACAUUGUUUGUCGCUUCGGCGUACCGAAGGCUAUCACUGUAGAUAAUGGAACAUAGUUCGAUGCCGAAGCUUUCAAGGAAUUCUAUGAUCAGAUUGGCACGAAGAUUCAUUUUGCAUCGGUCAGACACCCAGAGUCAAAUGGACUUGUCGAAAGAGCAAAUGGUAUUAUAAUGACAGGAAUAAUGAAGUUAAUUUUUAAUCAACCCAGAGGAAAGUGGCCAGAAGAGUUGAUUAAAGUGGUGUGGAGCCACAAUACAACUGUAUCAAGAUCAAUAGGUUUUACACCAUUUAAGUUGUUAUUUGGUGACGAAGCUAUAACCCCAGAAGAAGCUAAAGCGGGGUCAAUAAGAACAACAGCUUCGACUGAAGACGAAGCUGAUUAUCAUGUGGCAAAAGACACUAUAGAAGGGGUCAGACUUCAGGCUGUGGAAAAUAUAAAUAAAUAUCAAGCCGAAACAAUAAAAUGGCACGACUGAAAAAUAUCAAGCCAGGGCAUCUGGUGCUUCGAAGAGUGGCUAAUCUGGACACAGUAGGCAAGUUACAGCUGAAGUGGGAAGGACCCUUCCUGGUGGUAUCUUCGUCAAGACCUGGUUCUUACAGAUUGAAGGAUAUGGAUGGCAACGACAUUCCUAGAUCUUGGAAUGCGGAUGAGCUUCGGCGAUAUUAUGUAUAGCAUGAUGUAAUUUUUUCAUUUUUCCUAUGGCACCCUUUUCCUUUCCAAAGGGGGAGAAAGGUUUUUAAUGGGGCCAUAGUUUGUAAAUUUUUCCUUUCUUAUUUAGCUCCAUGAGAGCAAAAUCCCCCAAAAUAUGUAAAUGUAAAAUCUAAGCAUGCACCAUCGAGUGCAAAGAAAAAGAGAAAACAGGGAGAAGCUCGAAAGUCGUCCCUAAGGGGAUGCAGAGCAUGACGAAGCUACAAAAAGCCGUUCCUAAGGGAGCGCAGCGUAAGUUUUCUGCUCAAAAGUCAUUCCUAAGGGAAUGCAGAGCCAAAUACCGCCGAAAUAUAAGGCGAAGCGCGAAAAGUCAACGCGAAUACCGCCGAAAUAGAAAGCGAAGAAGUUCAAAAGACGUUCCUAAGGGGAUGCAGAACUUACACCGAAAAAUAAGCGGUGCAGCCGAAAAAUAAACGACAAAGAGAUUCCAGUCAUUCCUAAGGGAAUGAAGGUUGUCGAUGAAGCUUCGAAUGUGUGUGUUUCGGCAUUCAUUUGCACAAUACAUUACAUCAUACAUUGCAUUCAUAAACAUUCAUUUAGACAUACAUAGGAUCAUCAUCAUAUCAUACAAAUACAGACAGUUGCUUCGAUUCUAAGCAUACAGCUUCAAGAAGCAGAUUCAUGCUUCAUUGUGUACGAAAAGAAGGGAAGGUGUUUUUCGCCUUCGGCUCAAAAAUACAGGUUUCGACCACAUCAAAGCAUUUCAUACAUCGAUGGAAAGGUAAAAAUAUAUUACAAGAUAUGAAUAAAUUUACAGAGUACAAUCUAAUUCUUAAGUUACAAUAUUCUUUACAAGGGUUAAUACAAAAGUUUUCUUAGAAUUUUUUCCACAGCUAGGUAUUCGAGCUUCAUCAUCAUCUGUUGAGCUUCGGAUUGCCUGCUAAGCUUCAGCUCUGUGUUCUUCGGCUUCGUCAUCCUCUACAUAUCAAAACAUUAUAAGGAAAAUUCAAGUUUCAAGGAAAAGGUAAACACAAUGUAUGAUUUUAUUACCGGCUUGAGAUGACUCCGAGCUUCGUCACCAGCUAGGCUUCGUCCAUAUUUGCUUUAUGAAUCUGUUUCCUAUGCUUCGAGCUAGGCUAGGGAUAUCAAUCAGAUCUGCUGGUGAUAAGCUGAAGUUUGGUCUAUUAACAAUUUUCCCAUGCGUGCAACCAGACUUCAUGAAGGCAACAGUUGUGCCCCGAGAAGCUAGCAGGGCACAGAAAUCAUCGUGUCCCGCUAUGACUUCAUCAAGAGCAUCAACUUCGCCCUCAAUGUGUUCGAAGGUCCCGGGCAGGUCUUCAACCGAAGGACUGAAUUUCUCAGAACUGGCUCCAACCGAGUUGAAGACAUGUUUUAGCCGCUGCACGCAUCGGUUGCUGAACUCUAGACAUUUAUCUUGAAGCUCUUUCAAUGAUUUUUGCAAAUUUGAACUUUUUCGACCUCAGCUUCAAGCUUCGUAUCAAAUUUCUGCUUUUCUUGUUCGAAGCUUUCUGAUUUUGAGAGAAGCUCAUUAUCCAACUUUGCAAUUUUGGCUUCAGCUUCUGCCAGUAAGCCUUCCAUUGUCUGAAGUUCGAAAUCUUUCUUUUCAAGAGCAGCUGCCUGAUCUUUUAUUUUGUUUUCUAAACUUUCAAUUAUAACUUCAUGCUUUUUAUCUUCAAGGUCCUGUUGCAUCCUCAAAGCUUUACUCAAUAACAUAAUCUGUACAGAAGCAACCUUCGUUAGUGUCGGUGUUUUGGGUCCGACCGCACACCCGGGGUUGCCCCCUCAAGGUGUUUUUAGGAGUAGGACGGUGUCGACGACUGUAGCAAAAUGGUUCGUGCCGAUCGCACGAGGGACAAUGAACAAGAUUUGCAGGUUCGGGCCGCUUGGAAGUGCGCAACACCCUACGUCCUGGUGAGUAUAUGAGCGUGGUUACAAGAGGAUUCUCUGGAUAGAGGGCGCAGAGAGUUUUUGUGGGUGGCUAAGUAGAAUAGGGUCGAUCGUUCUGAAGGGGUGCCCCCUAGGCCUUAUAUACUCGACCGUGGGGCAGUACAUGUGAUAUGAUAACAACAAGUAGCUAAAAGAUAGUGAACCUCUUGAGUUUAUCCCUGCGUAACCCUCGCCGACUUAUCCUCGCAUGGCUGCGCUGCAUGGGGGCUUCAGCGCGGGAAAGUCGGGUCUCUGUUGCGAUUCAUUCGUUCGACGUUGUGGGCUGUCCGGGUCUCACGUCUUCUCUUCUUUGUUGGUUGUUUUUCCCUAGGCCCACGAAGGAAUGACCUUACGAAUUAUUGGGCCCUUGGGCCUUUCGUGAGGCCUUUUACUUCUUUAGUGGACCCAGGGGAUAUCUAUCCCCCACAAGCCCCCGAUCUUUGGGUUGAUUUAGAGGUAAUCAACCCAAAGAUCCAAGGUCCAAAAAAUGACUUCCUGCUGUCUUCUUUGACUCUGAUCGCUCGUCCGACCAAAGUUUGGUUUUGUGCUUGUGCCUUAGAGGUCGGCAUUUUUGGGUUGUAAGACCCUGGACUUUAUUGGGUGCACCGGAGGUGCACCCAAUGGGUGUAGCCCCCGACCUUCAAAUGGAUUUUUUAAGGAUAAUCCAUUCGAAGGUCUUUCUUUCGUUUGUGGAAACUGGCAUGAGGCUAUUUUGCAUUAUGCUUUAGAGGUCAGCAUUAUGUCAUCAAUAUUUUGUUGCAAAGGUCAGCGUAUAUUUUGUCUUUAGCAGCCGAGUUCGCGAUCCAUCCAUAUCUUGCUAGGUAGUGCAAUUUAUUUGCUUCUGCGAUUGAUUGGACGUCUGACAGACGUUCUCUGUCUAGUCUUCACGUCGUUUCUGUCGGCCAUAUCUUGUACUUUGCUGGUAAUAUUUGGCUUUCCUCUGAUCCUUACUGAUAUCUCAUUUUUGUCUUGAGGUAUUCACUGCAUGCUCUGCACGGAUGUGACCGUUUGAAAAAUGUACUGAUAAUUCCUGGGCGUCCCCCCCAAUGGGUGUGGGCAAGGGACGGCUUGGUACGCUGAGUGUUUUAGCCGGUUGCCUCUGAGUAGUAAUGCGAUGGGACGGCUAGUGUAAUCAUAUCCUUUGCGCUGUUGACUGGAGUCCCAAUGGGUGUAGUGUUGCAUGAAACGGCGUCCGCCGUCUGACGUGUCUUCAGAUGGGUGGAAGUGCUUAUUGGAUGCCUUGCGACUGUUCAGUGGCCGCGGUUAGAAGUGAGCGGUUGCCUUUCCCUUCUAUAAAUAACCCCUUUGCUUUUCUGGUUUCUUCACAUCUCUUCGCUGCUCCUUACUGCCUCUUCCCUUUCUUCUCUCCCAAAGCUUCAGCCAUGGGCAAGAACAACAAGCGCAAGCAUGAGCCGACUCCUCCAUCGGAGGAGUUUGGUGAUUCGGAAUACUCAGAGGAGGAGUUCUCCUCUGAGUCCGAGGGGUCUCCGGCUCCCAUCCCCCUGCGUGAGUCGUCUGACGACUCAGACGACUCCCAGGGGCUUGCGGCGGAGGUCUGGACGUACAUCCGGGCCGUCGAGCGCUCCGGGCUCGAAGGCUCGGAUGAGUCGGAGUACUCCUCGGAUGAGGAGGACUCGGACGGCGGUGACGAGGGUGAAGACGACGACGACGACGACGACGACGACGACGGCGACGGUGACGGCAGCGGCAGUGGCAGGGGCGGCGGCGACGGCGACGGCAGCAGGGACAGCACCUAGGGCGACAGCAGCAGGGGCAGCACCAAGGGCAGCAGCAGGGGCAGCACCAAGGGCGGCGGCGGCAGCAGGGGCAGGGCCAGUGGCUAGACGCCACUGGUCUUCUUAGAUAUUAGUAUAGUUUAGUAUAGCUAGAAUAAUGUAGUAGUAAUUAGUGUAAUUUAGUAGUAGUAGUAAUGUAGAGUAGUAUAUUGUAGUUUAGUAGUAGUAGUAAUGUAGAGUAGUAUAUUGUAGUUUAGUAGUAGUAGUAAUGUAGAGUAGAAUUAGGGAAGUACCAACUCGUGAAGAGUUGGUUUGUAAACUCGUAAACUUCCUUUUAAAUGAAGACUGUCGUUUAUCCCCUCUUUUUGAUGACUUGUCCUUGCUUUUGCCGAAUGUUGAACUGAUUCUUUUGAUAUAGUGGAAACAACGCCGAGCGAUGUGAAGAUUGACAUCAGCGUUUUAGAAGUAACACUGAGCAAUCGAACACAAGACCAGCGUUUUAGAGGCAAUGCCGAAUGAUAGAAGGUCGGCAUCGGCAUUUUAGAAGUAAUGCCAAGCGACAAAAUACGGGGCCGGCAUUUUAGAAAUAACGCCGAGUGAUUGAAUGUCGGCGUCAGCAUUUUAGAAGUAAUGCUGAGCGUUUGAACACGUGGUCGGCGUUUUAGAGGUAACACCGAGUGAUUGAAGAUCGACAUCGGCAUUUUAGAAGUAAUGCCGAGCGAUUGAACACGUGGUCGGCGUUUUAGAGGCAGCGCCGAGUGAUAGAAGGUCGGCAUCGGCAUUUUAGAAGUAAUGCCGAGCGAUUGAACACGUGGUCGGCGUUUUAGAGGCAGCGCCGAGUGAUUGCCCGUUUCUUAAGUUACUUUGAGGAAAAUGACCGAGUGAUGAGGUGGCACAUUGGCUUUCUUGGAAAUAACUGUUGGAUAUCCACGUGGCAUGCUGGGAUUUCGGAGAUGACCGCCGGGUGAUGACUGGGCACUUUUGAAAAGGUAUCUGGCUCAAGAAUAUCCCUUAAGAGUCGCGCUUUUAGCCGCCUUUGCUUUCCGUGCCCUAGUUCUUGCAUUUCCGCAUCUGAAUCUUCUCUGCCACUCGCCUCCCACUCUGUUUCGCCAGCGAGAAGCAAGAUGGCGCCCAAGAGGAAGACUACGAACUCGUCUGCCGCAGUGAUCCCCGCCAUCGACCCCAACAGUCAGUUACCCUUUGCAGGUAACCAUAUGUCUGUAAUUUCUGAAGUUGAGCUUCUCCGCCUUGUCUCCAUCGGGGUUCUCCCUCCACGGGAACUCUGUUCUUGGCGGGCUUGCCGCGGGACUACUGUCCCAACCGAAGAUACCCACGAGUCAGUGGUUUACACUCCUUUCCUUCUUCGCGGCCUCGGCCUUCCCAUAUCUCCUUUUUUCCGUGGCAUCCUUGAUUUUUAUCACAUCAACCUGACUCACUUGAACCCUAACUCCAUUCUCCAAAUCUCUAUUUUCGUUCACCUUUGUGAAGCUUAUCUCGGCGUGCUGCCGCAUUUUGGUUUAUGGAAAUAUCUGUAUCACUGCCGCCCUGGGAUGGCCGGGGGGCAACAUCAGUUGGUCGGAGGUGCAAGUUUAGAGAUGCGCCGUGGGCGGAAGACCGAGUAUCUCGAGAUACCCCUCAAAGACAGCAUUAAAGGUUGGCGUCUGGAGUGGUUUAUAAUGGAUAAUUAUGGAAAUUCUCUCCCUUCCCGCUCAGGAAGACAGCCAGACGUUCGUACUCCAAGUUGGACUGAGUCUCCCACGGAUCGAGAAGUGGCCGAGGCAGGCGUGUUGCUUACUGAAGUUGGAUUACUGAAAGAGAGAGGUCUGACUGCCGAAGCUGUGGUCACAGAUUUUGUCUUCAAAAACAUUCAGCCGCUGAAAGACAGGGCCUAUCCGGCAUAUCUUUACCGAGGGCUGGCCGACUCAACCCGAGUUACCAAUAGGAGAAUUCCUUCUGCUGAUUUGGUGAGCCGACUCGAAAUGAUCCUCAGGGGUAAAGUUUCAAACGUUGGUGCUCCAGUGGCAUACUCGGCUUGGAACCUGCCUUCUCCCAAAGAUUUCACUCUUUUUGUGUCCAAUCCGCCCGUGACAGAUAGCAAUUUGGGUCUUAGAGUGCGACCCUCUGCUGAAGAGGUCCGUUCCUUAGUUGCUUCGCUCGGGGAGAUACCUGAUGAUGAACGGCAGAUUUAUUUUGAAGUGCCCCUGAACCCUAGUGAUGCAGACAUAAAUGACAUGCUCGAUCUGCUAGCUGAGGAUUCAUCUGAUACUGCUCCGGAUGGCACAUUGGCAGUGGUGCCCCUUCCAGAGGUUGAUGCGACCUUGGAUGUCUCGAAACCUGUCAAUACUCGCCCGAGGCGUCCUAGCCGAACUAGUCAGCCCGAGCCUUCUGCUGAUGAGCAGAAGAAGAAAAGAAGACGCCUCCGGCGAGUGUCCAGCUUUGACGAGGAUGCCAGCACCUUAGCUCCUGCUGCCGAAGAAAUGACUGCAACUGGCCUUGCUGACAUUGAUCCCAAUGGGUGUGCUCCGCCUGCUGCUGACCCCAAUGAGGAUGCUGUUUGUGCUGUUGCUGUGGAAGAUGAGGAGGAAGAGAAUGAAACUCCAUUAACUCGGAAAAAUAGUCGGCAGAUCGUCGCUAGCGGUGGUAGUAGUGGGGUUCCUUCUCCUGCCUUGUCUGCUCUUAUUGGUCUGCAAGAACUGUCCAUGGCCAAUUUUGAUCAAGCUCUAGAGGAUAUGGUCCCUGAGAACUUGUUGUUGGAAUCUGCAGACGUUGAUGCAACAGAAACUUGUGCAGCUGUGCCAGAUGCUGGGUUGAGGUCGUCCCGUGCCUCGUCGACCUUAGAGCACGAUCUCGAGGGUCGGGAUGAUGACUUGGAUCGUCCUGAUCCUACGGAAGUAGCUGAGGGCCCGUCAACCUUAGAGGUGGUCACGGCAGAGAGCUCGGAUCCCUUGAAUAGUGCUGACACGUGCCCAGCCCCCGAGGGUGUCGCCGGGGAGGACUCAGCUCAGGUGAGGAGUGUAGGCCACUACCCAGCCCCCGAGGGUGUUGCCGGGGGUGACCCGGCUCGAGUGGGCAGUGCCAACCUUGACCCAGCCCCCGAGGGUGUCCGAGCGAGGUCUCCCUCCUGCACUUCCAUGGAUGUUCAUGUGGGUUCACCUCCACACUCUGGCGGCAUGAUGGUGGCUCAAACUCCGGAUCAGGGGGUCGCUUUGGAGGGCAGCAUCCCCACUGGUCUGGCGUUAAGCUCUGCUGAAUGUACUGAGAUCGUUCCUGCUGGUCUGCUGCAAGCUGCUUCGAGUGGUGGUCUGGCACCUGGUCAUCAGCUGAUUUCUCCUGACUUGGGGAUCCCUUCGCUUUUUUCCAACCUCCAGGUGCUGUGCUGUGCUUUAGUUUGAUCUUUAUGUUGCAUGAAUUGUCGCCAUUAUGCUCAUCCGCUCUUCUUAUCAGGCUUUGGUGGAUGGAAUGGUCGGCCAGCUGAAGUCGCAGGGUGCUUCCAUCCCGGAGGUGGCUUCAUCUCUUGAGCGUUGGAAUCCGGUGUUGCUUCGGGGUCGUGUAUCUGAGUUGGAGGCCACUAAUGCUGGUUAGUGUCCUUUCUUCUUCUUCUUUGUUCUUGCCCGUGGGUUGUUUUACCUUCUGACCUCAUUUUGCUUGAAUACCUCUUGAUAGGGAUGACUCGGCAGAUCACAGUUCUUGAAGAAAAACAUUCCCAAGAUCAAGCUGAAAUGGCUCGACGAUGCGCUGACUUCGAGGAGAAGUAUUCUCAAAGUCAGAUCGAGUUGAGUCAGGUCUCUGCAGCUUUGGAUGAUGCCAACGCCCUGAGUUCUUCCCUUCAUGCUCAGCUUGACUCUGAGAAGGUAGCUUGCGAACCCGUGCUUCGCCUUAUCAUGCUCUUGGAUUCUGAAUGAGUUGAUUUUUGCUUGUAGGAAGAAAAACGCAUCCUUGCUGCUUCUCGCGACAACUUGGACAGAUUGUACCGAGAUUCCAGCAACUCGCUGACCAUCUUGGAGAGGAGCCACCGUUUUACGAUGGAGGAGCUUGACAACCAGCGCCGUCAACUGCAAGAAUCCUCGGAUGAAGUGGCCCGCCUUACACAGUUGCUAUCGGCAAAGGACGCCACCAUCAAGGGACUCCGAGCUUCUAAGAAAUCCAUUGCUCAGGAGUUAGAAACCGCUCAGCAGGCUGUUAAAGUUGCUGAAGAAGCUGCUGUCACUUUCAAAGCUCAGCGCGAUAAGGCCCUGGACAAAGCCAUUCGGGCGGGACGAAUCUUGAUGAGAAGACCCGGCGUGGUUGUCCCUGAAGAUAUAAGAGCCGAUGUGAACGCUGCCCCUGAUUCCUCGAAUCGCCCUUCUUCAUCGGUCGUUCCUGAAAGAGACAUUGGAAAAUAAAGAAACAGUUCGCGUGCUCUGAGCGCGCAGUUAGCAUGAUCAAGUACUCGUUAGAGGUUAUCGGCUUAUCAUUCGAGUAACGUGAUUACUCCCUUAUUGUAUCAGAAUUUAUUAGUUUGCAAGCUUGUGGUAACGCUGCACGAUGAUUAUGAAAUUUGUUUGUGGGAUAUGGAGAUCAUCCCUUGAACUGCAUAAGCGCGAGUAUGCUAUACUGGUUUAAGCCGUCAGUGACUUUUAGCCGGUAACUUCCGUUAGUCGGGUAUAGUGGUCACCCCGAGUUAAGUAAGCGUGAGCAUGUUGCACCGCCUUAAGUCGUUGCCGACUUAAGUCGAUUGCUCCGUUUGUAGGGCAUAGUGGUCACCCCGAGUUAAGUAAGCGUGAGCAUGUUGCACCGCCAUAAGUCGUUGCCGACUUAAGUCGAUUGCUCCGUUUGUAGGGCAUAGUGGUCACCCUGAGUUAAGUAAGCGUGAGCAUGUUGCACCGCCUUAAGUCGUUGCUGACUUAAGCCGAUUGCUCCGUUUGUAGGGCAUAGUGGUCACCCCGAGUUAAGUAAGCGUGAGCAUGUUGCACCGCCUUAAGUCGUUGCCGACUUAAGUCGAUUGCUCCGUUUGUAGGGCAUAGUGGUCACCCCGAGUUAAGUAAGCGUGAGCAUGUUGCACCGCCUUAAGUCGUUGCCGACUUAAGUCGAUUGCUCCGUUUGUAGGGCAUAGUGGUCACCCCGAGUUAAGUAAGAACGUAAGUCAAUCAUAAAUGAGCCAAGUAUCUUUGAAAUCUCUCUUUAUUGAUGACGUAUUUCCAUUAUACAGAAUACAUGGUCGCUCCGACUGUUUUGAAAUACAGCUAGGGGUAGAACUUUCGGAGGUGCUCUAUGUUCCAGGAGUUCCCAACUUCCGUGCCAUCCAUUUGGGUGAGGCGAUAUGAUCCGGGACGAGUGACUUCUGCUACUAUGAAAGGUCCUUCCCAUAAGGGUGAUAACUUGUGCCGUCCCUCCCCCGUUAGAAUUCGGCGGAGGACGAGGUCUCCCAUCGAAAAGAAACGUUGCCGCACAGCUUUGUCGUGGUAGCGCCUUAGAGUCUGCUGGUAUCGUGCUGAUUGAAUCACUGCAUUCAGUCGUUCUUCCUCAAGUACGUCAAUAUCCUCCAGCCUAGUGGCUUCGGCUUCUGCUAUGCUUUCGAAGAUCAAUCUUGGCGCCCCAAACUUGAGAUCAGCAGGUAGCACUGCCUCCGACCCAUAGACCAUGAAGAAAGGAGUGUUUCCAUGCAGGGCCCGGCUAGGUUGGGUUCUCAAGCUCCAAACAACAUAAGGCAAUUCUCUUAUCCAUUUUCCUGCGAAUUUUUCAUUUUUAUCAAAGACCCUUUUUCUAAGUGCCUCCAAUAUCAUUCCGUUGGCUCGCUCAACCUGCCCGUUGGCUCUUGGAUGGGCUACAGAUGCAUACUUAAUCUGAAUGCUUUUUUGCUCACAGAAGUCAAAGAAUUCUGAACUGGUGAAGUUGGAUCCCAAGUCAGUGAUGAUACUGUUUGGUAUCCCAAAUCUAAAUAUUAUGCUUUGUAUGAAUUCCACGGCUUUAGCAGAGGUUAAAGAGGCAAUGGGCUGGAACUCUAUCCAUUUAGUGAAUUUGUCAAUUGCCACCAAUACAUGGGUGUAUCCUCCUUGAGCUUUCUUGAAAGGUCCAAUCAUAUCCAAUCCCCAGCAUGCGAAAGGCCAAGUUACUGGUAUGGUUUGUAGCUGCUGUGCUGGCAUGUGCUGUUGCUUUGACAGGUAUUGGCAAGCUUCACAUCUCUGAACUAACUUGGCUGCGUCAUUCUUCGCCGUCGGCCAAUAGAAUCCUGACCUGAAAACCUUCCCGACUAAUGUUCUGGAUGCUGCGUGUACUCCACACUGCCCUGCAUGGACUUCCUCCAGAAGUUUCUUCCCGGUGGACGGGAGAACGCACUUCAUGAGGACGCCUGACGCGCCCCUCCUGUAUAAUACCUCCCCAAUGAGUGUAUAGUGGGCUGAUUGUCUGGCAAUGCGCUCUGCCGAGUUCUUGUCAUCUGGUUCUUCUUCAUUCUUUAUAUACUUAAUAAUCGGCUGCCUCCAGUCAUCAGAGUCUGACUCGGGUUGAUCUAUGAUGUUGCACUCUUCUAUUUGACCCGUCGAGAUGCUCGGCUGGAGAAUUUCUUGCACGAAGACCCCGGGCGGGACUUGAGUCCGACCGGAUCCGAGCUUGGACAGUACGUCAGCCGCCGUGUUCCGAUCUCUCUCUAUAUGAUGAAACUCCAGACCUUCGAAUUUAUCUUCUAGCUUUCGUACGGCGGUGCAGUAUCUUCCCAUUGAAUCACUUGAACAAUCCCAUUCCUUGUUUAUCUGACUGAUGACUACCAGAGAAUCUCCGUACACCAUCAGUCUCUUGACACCCAGUGAUAUGGCGAUGUUUAAUCCGUGUAUCAAAGCUUCAUACUCGGCUGCAUUGUUAGAGGCCGGGAAUAGCAAUUGGAGAGCAUACUUGAGGUGCUCGCCUCCAGGUGCGGUGAAGAGAAUUCCUGCUCCUGCUCCCUGUAGCUUCAGCGAGCCAUCAAAAUACAUUCGCCAUACUUCUGCAGUUUCUGGAUUAUCCGGCACUUGCUGUUCUGUCCACUCUGAUACGAAAUCGACCAGUGCUUGAGUUUUGAUGGCAGUGCGAGGUCGGAACUCGAUAUCAUGGGAUCCCAACUCGCAAGCCCACUUGGCUAUUCGGCCAAUGGCUUCCUUGUUGUGAAGAAUGUCCCCUAUUGGAAAACCAGUAACUACUAUGACUUUGUGGUCGUCAAAGUAGUGGCGCAGCUUGCGGGCAGUCAGAAGUACUGCAUAUAAUAGCUUCUGAACUUGAGGAUACUUUUUCUUCGAUGGGCCUAGAACCUCACUGAUGAAGUAGACAGGAUGUUGUACCGGGUAGGCAUGCCCCUCUUCCACUCGCUCGACUACCAACGCGGUGCUUACCACGUGAGUCGUGCAAGAGAUAUAUAGCAGCAAAUCUUCAGCCGGCUGAGUCGGCGUAGCUCGCCGGGGCGGUCUCAAUACUGGCGGUGUUGUCAGGAAUUUCUUCAGUGCGUCUAGAGCUUCUUGUGCCUCUGAAGUCCAUUGAAACUUAUCCACCUUCUUCAAUAAUUUAUAAAAUGGCAGACCUUUUUCUCCCAGCCUGGAUAUGAAUCUGCUCAGGGCUGCCAUACAUCCAGUGAGUCGCUGAACCUUCUUUUGCGAUCGAGGAGCUUCCAUCUUCAUGAUAGCCUCAAUCUUAUCUGGAUUAGCUUCAAUUCCCCGGUGGCUGACAAUAAAUCCGAGUAACUUUCCUGCUGGGACCCCGAAGACGCAUUUCUCAGGAUUGAGCUUCCAUCUAUAUCUUCUCAGGCUGUUGAAAACCAGCUGUAAGUCUUCGAUGAAGUUUUCCGGAUUCUCCGUUUUAAUCACCACGUCGUCUACGUAAGCCUCCACAUGCUUGCCCCAGUGAUCGGCUAAGCAUGUUUGAAUAGCCCUCUGAUAAGUCGCUCCAGCGUUUUUGAGGCCGAACGGCAUGGAGGUAUAACAGAAAGCACCAAACGGGGUGAUGAACGCUGUUUUUUCCUCGUCUUCUUUUGCCAAACUAAUCUGAUGGUACCCGGAAUAGCAAUCUAAGAAAGACAGCAUCGAACAUCCAGCGGUGGAAUCCACCACCUGAUCUAUCCUUGGGAGCCCGAAGGGAUCCUUCGGACAGUGUUUGUUGAGAUCAGUAUAGUCGACGCACAUGCGCCAAUCCACUUUAUUCUUUUUGAGUACAAGAACAGGGUUGGCUAACCACUCGGGGUGUAAUACUUCUCUAAUAAAUCCAGCCGCGACCAAGCGAGCUAACUCGGCACGAAUGGCUUCUCUCUUGUCGGGCGUGAAACGACGCAGCUUUUGCCGGAUCGGCCUCGCCUGAGGAUAGACUUUCAAUUUGUGCUCGGCCAACUCCCUCGGGACUCCCGGCAUAUCCGCAGGUUGCCAUGCGAAUACGUCUCGGUUAUCUUGCAGGAACUGGACGAGCGCGCUUUCCUAUUUGUCAUUUAAACUGGAGUUGAUGAUGGCCGCCUUGCGCUCAUCAGCAAACCCCAGGUUGAUCCGCUUGGUGUCUUCAGUCGGCCGCAUAGAGGUCGCGGCCUGGGCUUCGUUUGCCGGCACGGCGAGGUCUUCUUCAGGCUUAGAGUUCGCCGGUGUAGAAGGAACCGUUGACGGCUUGGUGGUGAGGGCUGCUUGGAUGGCCACUCGGAAACAUUCUGCGGCGCCUUGGAAGUCGGCGCGCACAGUUAUGAUUCCUUGCGGCCCUGGCAUCUUCAGUAUCAUGUACGUAUAGUGUGGGAUGGCCAUGAAUUUGGCCAGCCCCGGCCUCCCGAUGAUGGCGUUGUACCCGCAGUCGAAGUUCGCCACCUCGAACCUCAGGAACUCGGUUCUGUAGUUAUCCGGAGUCCCGAAGGUGACCGGCAUGUAGAUGUGGCCCAGCGGGUAUUCUCCUUCCGUCGGCACGAUGCCAAAGAAAGGAGUGUCUGACUCGUGGAGCUCUUUGAGGUGAACUCCCAAGCCUUGGAGCGUACGGGGGAAGGUGACGUUGAUGCUGCUCCCCCCGUCCACUAGCACCUUCUUCACCCGGCUCUCUCGGAUCACCGGAUCGACGAGGAGCGGGUAUUUACCCGGGUGGUCGAAGUUGAGCCAUUGAUCCUCCCGAGUGAACGUGAUUGGGUGCUCCGACCACCGGUACGGGGCGGGAGGGCCGGUGGUCGCCACCAGUAUCUGGCGAUCGUUGAGCUUUUGUUGUCUCUUGUUCUCCUGCGACCCAUGUCCGCCGAAGAUGACGUUGACCUCCCUGUCGACGCGCGGGAAAGCUCCUCCUCUCCCCUCCUCCGGCUGAUGGGGCUGUCGUGGUUCAUCUGGUCCUCCCCUCGGCGGAGGAGGCGGUAGAGGUUGGAAGGGUCGGCCAUGCCCGACGGAGUGCUUGAAAUCCCGGCAGUUGCGGAGAGUGUGGCGCAUGUCCUUGUGGUACGGGCACUGGGCGUCGAGGAUGUCGUCCAGCGUGCGUUCGCCUCCACGAGGUCCUCCUCGGGCGCGAGAGGCGGGUGGUCCGGCGGCGUGUACCUCUUCGCGAGGCCUUUUCUCCCAGCGCUUGUCGGGCGGCUGGUUCGCGUCGCGUCGUGGUGCCGCCGGUGCGGGCUUUGCUCCUCCGAUGAGGUCCUGGGCCCGCUCGUCAGCGGUGAUGUAGAGGUCGGCUUCCCGGAACAGCUCCUCGGAGGUAGUCGGCGCCUUUUGCAGUAUGGCUCGGACGAAAGCCGAGUCGUUAGAUCCUCUGUAGAAGUCCUCGAUCACGGCCGCCUCCGUGACCUCGGGGAUGCGGUUUCUCAUGGUCUGGAACCUUUUAAGGUAUGACCGGAGAGUCUCAUCCCCCCGGCGCUUGAUGGAUUUGAGGUCCCAUGGUUGCGCUGGCUUGUCGGAGAGAGACUGGAAGUUGGCGGUGAAACGUCGACUGAAGUCUCCCCAGUCGUCGAUGCAGUGUCGGGGUAGAUGUCGUAGCCACUGCAGCGCGUCUUGCCCGAGGACGAUGGGCAGAUACGCAGUCAUGACGUCCUCGGAUGCCCCGGCAGCCCGAGCAGCGGUGGUGUAGACGGCCAACCAGCCCCCUGAAUCCUGCUUAGGUUCAUAUUUGUCGACAUUGGAUACCUUGAAGUUGGGAGGCCAUUGGAUGGCCCUAAGGCGCGGAGUAAGGGCAGAUACUCCGCACGUGUCCUCCUGUCGUCGAGGAUGUCGUCUGUCCCGGGGAGGGGAGUGGCGGUGGUGGUUCCUCGACCGUCCCCGGGUGGUUCCACCAGUUGAAGCUGUUGCCGACUCAGUUCGGGUGGCCUGGCUUUGAGUCGGGAAGCCAUGAUCUCGGUCAUACUCCUCCCGACGGCGAUUUUCGUUCUCGUGCCGCCGUUCGCGCGAAGCAUUGAUAGAGCUCCGCGCGUCUCGGCGACUGUUGAUGGCGUGUCGCAGAUCGUUCGGCGGGUGAGCGAGCGGUAGAAGAUGGUUGGCUGCCUGAGUGAACAGGCGCCGGUAUCCCUCGGCGUCGGGGGUCCGAGGAAGUCCGUCAGCUAUCCGGGCUAGAACGCCUCCGACCUCGCUCGGCGUGUUCAUAGCUCGGGCGAAGUCAGGGUUCAAGUUGCGCCCGAAGAGCGGAUUCUCGCGUCGUUGCCUUGCAUCUUGCUCGGCUUGCUCCUGAGUCUGACGGCGAUCACGUCGUCGGGAGUUCCUUCGUUCCCUGAAGACGCGUUCUUCCGGAGUUUCUCCUAUCUCUGAGACCUCGUCUCGCGAGACAGGCUGCUCCGGAUCCCGUUCUCCGGCUGCGUGAUGUCGUCGAACGUUUCUGCGUCGGUUCCUUCGUCGGCGGGAUUCUCGCUGAGGCGGUUCUUCUCCGGGCGCGGUCGGUUCAUCGUCGGAGACGGCGGGCGACUCUGCCCUCCCGAUGAAGAGGACGUCGGGGUAGAACGGUAUUGUUGCCGCGGCGACUUUCUUUCCGUUCUCCUUUGAGGUCGGAGGAACGGGAAGAACGACUGGCCUCUCCCUGAUCUCCUUCCUUCUCAUGACCUGUGUCCAUUCUUUCGUCGGGGAAGUAGACAGCGGAGUCUUCCGGGUCAGCGAGCUUCUAGCUCCAGCCUUCCCGGAGACGAUCUUGUUCCGAAGAGCCGGAGGUAGCGUUUUUCCAGCAUUUUCGGAGUUUGUUGGAGGAGACUUCUGUUCCGGCAGAUCCGCGAGGCGGUGUAGGAUUCCUUCUUCGUCCGCCACGGAUGAGAUUGUCCCGAAGCAGAAUAUGGAUCCGGGACGCAUGGUGAUCUUGCUGUGGAAGGUGACGGCCAUUGAGCUAGCUUGGAUCGUCGACACACCCCCUACCUGGCGCGCCAGCUGUCGGUGUUUUGGAUCCGACCGCACACCCGGGGUUGCCCCCUCAAGGUGUUUUUAGGAGUAGGACGGUGUCGACGACUGUAGCAAAAUGGUUCGUGCCGAUCGCACGAGGGACAAUGAACAAGAUUUGCAGGUUCGGGCCGCUUGGAAGUGCGCAACACCCUACGUCCUGGUGAGUAUAUGAGCGUGGUUACAAGAGGAUUCUCUGGAUAGAGGGCGCAGAGAGUUUUUGUGGGUGGCUAAGUAGAAUAGGGUCGAUCGUUCUGAAGGGGUGCCCCCUAGGCCUUAUAUACUCGACCGUGGGGCAGUACAUGUGAUAUGAUAACAACAAGUAGCUAAAAGAUAGUGAACCUCUUGAGUUUAUCCCUGCGUAACCCUCGCCGACUUAUCCUCGCAUGGCUCCGCUGCAUGGGGGCUUCAGCGCGGGAAAGUCGGGUCUCUGUUGCGAUUCAUUCGUUCGACGUUGUGGGCUGUCCGGGUCUCACGUCUUCUCUUCUUUGUUGGUUGUUUUUCCCUAGGCCCACGAAGGAAUGACCUUACGAAUUAUUGGGCCCUUGGGCCUUUCGUGAGGCCUUUUACUUCUUUAGUGGACCCAGGGGAUAUCUAUCCCCCACAGUUAGAAAACACCUUCGUGGUUAAAAACAAUGAAGAGUCGAAGAAAAGUUUUUACCUUGAAGUUAGAAUAGAAUAAACUACCGAUGAUAUGUUGUCGUCGGUAGCGGCUGAUAUCGGCCUCAAGCUUCAGGAAACCAAUACUCUUCGACAGAGUACCGAUAACCUUCACCCCGGUUUGGUCUCGGACACAACCUAAGCUCUCAUCGUCAAUGCCGCCGAAGAGUAGUGCCCCUGGUUGAUACCCGCAGGAUAUGGCGUAGUCUCUCAAUUCUUCUUUUUCAGCCUUUGACAAUUCUUGUCCAAUUAAGUUUUGAAAGUUGAAAUCUUCUUCUUCUGAAGUAUCUUCGGCUAUUUCCUUCUCUUUCCAGGCACUGUGGCUAUGGUCUCUUCGGCAGAUGUAGCAGCUUCUUCUGCGGCCAUAUCCAGAAGUAUUUUAUCUAUAUCAGAAAGUGUGCUUUCUAAGUUUGAAUCCUUGGCCGUUGCAGCUUCGGUAAUUGCGGCUUCGGCAGGUGCAGCUUCGGUAGCUGCAGUGCUCUCGACAGCUGGUGCUUUUGACGCCGAAGUUGGUGGUGGUGUUUCUUCAAUGACCUCUGUCACAGUGAUGAUUCUUUGUUUUUCGGCCCAGCAGACUUCUUCGUUGCCGAGGGCUCCUUCUUCUGUAAAAGCUUCGUCGAAUGUGGCCCCAGUGGACUUAGCUUGAUAGGCAAGGAUUCAGUCAUUACCUUUAGAAUUUCUUCCACGUUGGCAGCAGA
rnacentral:lncRNA from 1 species